rnacentral:lncRNA from 1 species
GAGCAUCUCUGUAUGUGAAGUGGGCUCCAAAAGUCCAUUCUCGAUUAGGGAUAAAUACUGAUUCACUACCAGAGGCCCCCAUAGAUUAACCAGACUUCCAAACUGACAUCCUCAUUCACGGGGUCUGGAACAGUCCUAUGCUGCUUUCCCAGGUAUCAGUCUGAGGUCCACGGGCUUCCCCUUGUUCCAGUCAGCUGUUUCUGUGGUUUUUCUCAGUCUGGUCUUGAUCCAUUUGCUCAUCACUCCUCCCUCUCUGCAAUUGGAUUCCAGAGUUCAGCUGAAUGUUCAGCUGUGGGUGUCUGCUUAUGCUUCCAUCAGCUACUGGAUGAAGGGUCUAGGAUGGCAUAUAAGGUAGUCAUCAAUCUCAUUAUUGGAGAAGGACAUUUAAGAACUCCCGUUAUUGAUUGAAUCUUUGUCUUUGAAAUUAUUUGUAGACUUGGGUAUAUAAUAGGAUUGUGAAAACCUGGGAUAAAAUCUACACUAUUCAUCACUAAGUAAUUGUCACAAAUACUGUUUGGCUUGGAUUUUGAAGGAUAAACAUGAAGUAUUUGAAAGCUGUAUUGCACAUGAUUGUGAAGAAAUGCUGAACACAAGAAAGAAUGAAUGAUUAAGGGCAAGUAACUUCACAUCAAGGACUUUGACACAUGAACUGGAAAUAAUUAUUAAAUAAACUUUUUUAUUUUUUUAAGGAACCUAAUAAAAAGCCAUGGUGAGAUGCUUGUAGUGUCUCUCUUAAGUGUGAAAAUAGAGAAUGGGUCUUAUCUUAGUUAGGGUUUUUAAUGCUAUGAAGAGAUGCCAUGACCAUAGCAACUCUUAUAAAGGGAAACAUUUAAUUGGGGUUGCCUUACAGUUACAGAGAUUUAGUCCAUUGUCAUCAUGGUGCAACCUGGUGGCAUGCAUGCAGAUGUGAUGCUGUAGAAGGAGCUAAGCAUUCUCCAUCUUGAUUUGAGACACCAGGAAGUGAAGUGAGCCACUGAUCAUGGUUUAUAUGAGAACUCAAAUCCCUCUCCAUAGUGACAUGUAUCCUCCAACAAGGCCACACCUAUUUCUACAAAGCCAUAUCUUCUGAUAGUGCCACUCCCUAUUAACUUAUGGGAGCAAUUACUUACAAACUACCACAGUUCUAUAGCAAUACUCCAGAAGUGAGCAGCACACUUGUGGCAUUUCUUCUUUGAACAACAUUGUACCUGUUUGGCAUCCAUUUUGUGAGAAAUCUAAUUUCAUUCUUUAUGGUUCCAUGACAUGGCCUGAUCACACCUCUUGUCUUCUGAAUAAUAUAGUUUUCCCCUAAAAUAUUUGGGCAGGGUUUUUUUUUUGUUGUUGUUGUUUAUCCUUGGGUCAGUUUUAUGACCCACUAUGCUUGCUUAAUUACAACUACACAUUUAUAUAUUGAUUAUAGCAUACUAAAGUAGAAUUUUGACAGAGUAACUGAUUCUCUAACAAACAUAGAUUAAGCCAUGAUGUUUUAUUCUAUUAUCAAUUAUUUCAUUUUAUUGCUCUAGGUUUUAUUAUAAUUGUAUGGAAUACUUUUAGAGUUUAAUGAUUCAUAAGUGUAAAGAUUAAAAUAAAUGGAGUGAUUUUUUAACAGCAUGUUAAAUAUGUGUAGUACAGUACAAUUUACAUAAUUACAGAUAGGUGUUUCUGUUUUAAGGCUUCUGAAAUUCUUACUGUAGGAUUGUUUGUUCAUGAUACUGUAAUGUAAGUGUCUGAGGAUUUAUGGCAAUAUAAAGUACAGUUCAUCAAACAAAAUGACAUAAACUCUCACUUUAAAAGUCCUUUAGUAUUGGUUAUAUUUUUUCCACUUAAAUAACUUUUAUAUUUAGAUAUCUGUAUCAUAUGUUUGUUGGUGUUUUGCUAGCAUGUUUGCCUGUACACUGCAUGUUUGCAGCCAUUGUGGAGGCCAGAAGAAGGCAUGUUAUUGCCUGGAAUUGAGAUGAUAGAUAGGUUUUAGGAAUAAUGUGGAUACUGGGAAUGAACUUUGGCCCUCAAGAAGUGCAAUGAGUACUCAUAACAAUUGAGCCGUCACUGAAGUACCAUUUAGUUAACUUUUAAACUCUAAUAUUUAAUCCUUUGAGAAUAUUACAUAUGUGGUGGGUGACACUCAAUGUUGGAUUGAAAAAUAAAUGAUACGUGUCAAUUUUCCUAAAAGCAGCAUUCCUUUAAUAUUAUUAGUUGAAGUUAUAGUUAUAUCCUGAAAACCAAGCUUGAAAUGAUAGGUUUGUUCUCUAUAAAUGGUUGAUCUGUUACUACAUUUCUUCUUUAUUGAUACUAUGUAGGUAUUUCUCUUAUUCUUGCCCAUCCUAAAAGACAAUUCCAAUUAUUUCGAUAACAUCCUUAAAAACAAAACAGAAGAAUGAAAAUCACUCUGUAUGCAGAGAACAGAUUUCACCUUAUAGUCAAAUAGUAAACUCUCUAAUGCAUACCUUAUCUUUAAAUAGUUUAAAUUAAUUUUAGUAUGCCCUUUUAGUCUUGAUACUUUUAAAGACUGUUAAUAGCCUUAGUGUGGGAAUAAAAAAUAAAAUAUGCUUGACCUCAUUUGGCUUUUUUGAUGUGCAGUCAUUUAAAAGGUUUGUAAGACGUUUAAUUACCAAAUCAUAUGAUCAUUAUUCAUCUUGUCGGUUGAUAGAACGUCAACUGAAUUGCCUCCCUAGAGUGCACUGUGCUUCCCAGAUCAAUAGAGUAACCAAGAGCUUGAAGGAAAGCUCUAAGCACUCAUUGGAAAGGAAAAAAUAUACACCCC